rnacentral:rRNA from 1 species
UCCAGACUCCUACGGGAGGCAGCAGUGAGGAAUAUUGGUCAAUGGGCGAGAGCCUGAACCAGCCAAGUCGCGUGAGGGAGUACUGCCCUAUGGGUUGUAAACCUCUUUUGCCGGGGAGCAAGCCUGAGCACGUGUGCCCAGGCGGAGAGUACCCGGAGAAAAAGCAUCGGCUAACUCCGUGCCAGCAGCCGCGGUAAUACGGAGGAUGCGAGCGUUAUCCGGAUUUAUUGGGUUUAAAGGGUGCGCAGGCGGGCUGUUAAGCCGGCGGUAAAAAUUCAGGGCUCAACCCUGUCGAGCCGUCGGAACUGGCAGUCUUGAGUGGGCGAGAAGUAUGCGGAAUGCGUGGUGUAGCGGUGAAAUGCAUAGAUAUCGCGCAGAACUCCGAUUGCGAAGGCAGCGUACCGGCGCCAGACUGACGCUGAGGCACGAAAGCGUGGGGAUCGAACAGGAUUAGAUACCCGAGUAAA